AGCAGCCGCGGUAAUUCCAGCUCCAAUAGCGUAUAUUAAAGUUGUUGCAGUUAAAAAGCUCGUAGUUGAAUUUCGGGGUUCUACCGUUGGUCGGGCAAUAGUCUGUACUGGCGUGUAGAAUUUCUACCUUCUGGGGAACCAUCAUGUUAUUUAUUUAGCGUGGUAGGAAACCAGGACCUUUACCUUGAAAAAAUUAGAGUGUUCAAAGCAGGCUUACGUCUGAAUACAUUAGCAUGGAAUAAUAAAAUAGGACGGUGGUCCUGUUUUGUUGGUUUCUGAAUCACCGUAAUGAUUAAUAGGGAUAGUUGGGGGCAUUAGUAUUCAAUUGUCAGAGGUGAAAUUCUUGGAUUUAUUGAAGACUAACUUCUGCGAAAGCAUUUGCCAAGGAUGUUUUCAUUAAUCAAGAACGAAAGUUAGGGGAUCGAAGACGAUCAGAUACCGUCGUAGUCUUAACCAUAAACUAUGCCGACUAGGGAUCGGACGAUGUUAAUUUUUCUUGACUCG
rnacentral:rRNA from 1 species